rnacentral:lncRNA from 1 species
GCCGGUUCGGAUCCCAGGUGUGGACAUGGCACCGCUUGGCAAGCCAUGCUGUGGUAGGCGUCCCACAUAUAAAGUAGAGGAAGAUGGGCACGGAUGUGACCUCAGGGCCAGUCUUCCUCAGCAAAAAGAGGAGGACUGGUGGCAGAUGUUAGCUCAGGGCUAAUCUUCCUCAAAAACAAAACAAAACAAAAACAAAAACAAAAGAGGAGCUUGGGCACAGACACACGGGGAGAAGACCCCGGGCCCCCUACUAGCCAAGAAGAGAGGCCUCAGAAGAACUGCCCUGCUGGCCCCUUGACCUCUAGCCCCUGGAACUGCAAGACCAUACGUUUCUGGUUUCUGUCGCUUCAGCCCCCCCAUCUGCAUCCUCUGCUGCCUGCAGCCUUGUUCCCCGAUACACAGGCCCAGGGUCUUUGCUGUUCUCUCUGAUGCACGAGGCUGGCAGGGGUAGUUUGGAGGUGUGAACAGUGGGACUGCACAACAUCUGGAUGGUUUGUGGGCUCAGAGGGACUCCGGGAGCACUGCAGAGAGGCUUACCCUGACCAUCCUUCUUGAAAUGAACCGUCUUCCUCUUCGGCUCCAAAGCCGCUAGAUGGGACCCCGAAAGGUGGAGCUGGAAAUGCACAGUGGUCUGAACCCAUGUCCACUGUCAGGGCCUGGAGCCUUGGGGGCGGGUGUCCCAUCGUAAUGAGGAUGCCCAUGCUGCAGAGGCGGCACUCUGGCGUCAGGGGCUCAGGAGGGACAGGGCCUCGCUCAGCAGGCCCCCAGCCUGCUCCCCAGCCCCUGGGAGGCAGGGGUAUAAGGAAGGCUGCCUCAUCCAGACGCCCAGCAGAGCCUUCCGACUGGAGUCCCAGCCCCACCAGAGAGGGGGCUGGCACUGGCCACAUUCACCUGUAUUCUCCGCAUCUGGAACAACAGCUGGAGUGCCAUUGGUGCUCAGGAGAUCCCACACCCAGGAAAGGAGAGAUGAUGCAGUAGCUCUGGCCGCUGCCGGGCCUUUGAGCCCCUGGAGCCCUCGCUGCAG